UACAGAGGUCUCAAGCGUUGUUCGGAUUCAUUGGGCGUAAAGGGUGCGUAGGUGGCGCGGUAAGUCGGGUGUGAAAUCUCGGAGCUUAACUCCGAAAUUGCAUUCGAUACUGCCGUGCUUGAGAACUGGAGAGGAGACUGGAAUUCAUGGUGUAGCAGUGAAAUGCGUAGAGAUCAUGAGGAAGACCAGUGGCGAAGGCGGGUCUCUGGACAGUUCCUGACACUGAGGCACGAAGGCCAGGGGAGCAAACGGG
rnacentral:rRNA from 1 species